rnacentral:rRNA from 1 species
GCCUAACACAUGCAAGUCGAACGGUAGCACAGAGAGCUUGCUCUCGGGUGACGAGUGGCGGACGGGUGAGUAAUGUCUAGGAAACUGCCUGAUGGAGGGGGAUAACUACUGGAAACGGUAGCUAAUACCGCAUAACGUCGCAAGACCAAAGAGGGGGACCUUCGGGCCUCUUGCCAUCAGAUGUGCCCAGAUGGGAUUAGCUAGUAGGUGGGGUAACGGCUCACCUAGGCGACGAUCCCUAGCUGGUCUGAGAGGAUGACCAGCCACACUGGAACUGAGACACGGUCCAGACUCCUACGGGAGGCAGCAGUGGGGAAUAUUGCACAAUGGGCGCAAGCCUGAUGCAGCCAUGCCGCGUGUAUGAAGAAGGCCUUCGGGUUGUAAAGUACUUUCAGCGGGGAGGAAGGUGUUGCGGUUAAUAACCGCAGCAAUUGACGUUACCCGCAGAAGAAGCACCGGCUAACUCCGUGCCAGCAGCCGCGGUAAUACGGAGGGUGCAAGCGUUAAUCGGAAUUACUGGGCGUAAAGCGCACGCAGGCGGUCUGUCAAGUCGGAUGUGAAAUCCCCGGGCUCAACCUGGGAACUGCAUUCGAAACUGGCAGGCUAGAGUCUUGUAGAGGGGUGUAGAAUUCCAGGUGUAGCGGUGAAAUGCGUAGAGAUCUGGAGGAAUACCGGUGGCGAAGGCGGCCCCCUGGACAAAGACUG